AUUGAACGCUGGCGGCAUGCCUUACACAUGUAAGUCGAACGGCAGCACGGGUGCUUGCACCUGGUGGCGAGUGGCGAACGGGUGAGUAAUACAUCGGAACAUGUCCUGUAGUGGGGGAUAGCCCGGCGAAAGCCGGAUUAAUACCGCAUACGAUCUACGGAUGAAAGCGGGGGACCUUCGGGCCUCGCGCUAUAGGGUUGGCCGAUGGCUGAUUAGCUAGUUGGUGGGGUAAAGGCCUACCAAGGCGACGAUCAGUAGCUGGUCUGAGAGGACGACCAGCCACACUGGGACUGAGACACGGCCCAGACUCCUACGGGAGACAGCAGUGGGGAAUUUUGGACAAUGGGCGAAAGCCUGAUCCAGCAAUGCCGCGUGUGUGAAGAAGGCCUUCGGGUUGUAAAGCACUUUUGUCCGGAAAGAAAUCCUUGGCCCUAAUACGGUCGGGGGAUGACGGUACCGGAAGAAUAAGCACCGGCUAACUACGUG
rnacentral:rRNA from 1 species